rnacentral:lncRNA from 1 species
AAGUCGCAUCAGAUUCAUUGAAGGGGAAUCUUGUUAGCAGUAUAUGAAUUAUUGCAAAGCACUAGACAAAAUCUACAUCUCAGUUUCUUUGUGUUCAAAAAUUAAAUGGCUAUGAUUAUUGGAUUAGGAAAUGAUUGAAUAUUGAUCCUUUUUCAUGUGCUAAGCGAUAAAUUGAGGCAUAUUAAAAAUUUUGAGUUUAUUUAAACAAAAAUAAUUUCCCCUCUGCCUUUUAUAGUGAGUGCCUGUGUGAGGGCCCUUUUUCUCCAGGGCAUCUCCUAAAUGGAUAAGCUUAUCUAACAUGGUUAAAAGUUCUCCCCUGUGGCCACUGUAAUGCAAGAUCAUCUUUGGUAACGUUAACUUGCUUGUUCAGCCUUAAAACAAAAUUUUAUUUAUCCAAGCCCUCACGCUGGACCCAGUUAGUUUUUAAGUCAGACCCAGUCCAACUCUGGCCAGUUUCUGGACCAGCCUGGAAAAAAAAAUGCUCAAAUAACGUCUGAAAAAUAAUAAGGCAAAAGCUUUGGGGCUGGGAUUCAGGAUCCGAGAGGAAUUUACCCACAACCUGCAGAGGCAGUGAGCUCAAGGGGCUCAACAGGAGCCUACCCCAGGUUUUUUUUUUUGAGAAAUGAUAAAUUUGCUCAUUUCUCCUUGGGGUUGUUAGGAGUCUCUUUGUGUUCCUUCUUCUGACCCAGAACUGUUAAAAGAUAAACUGAGGCUUAUUAAAAAUUUUAAUAAUUUAUUUGAGCAAAAAUAGAUUUGAAUCAGACAGCAUCCAAUCUAGUGGGUAGAAAGGAGCUCCGAGGCAGAAGGGAGCAGGAACAAUGAAGUUAUACUGGCAAAAACGUGGGUUGGUUAUUGCAAAGUUACUUUCCUUUGGAGGAUGGUGGGGGUCCAUCAGGUCACUCGUUAUUCAUUGGUUUAAGAUUCCACUUCUGGGAGAGCCAAAACUGUAAUCAAGUCUUGGUUUGGUGUUGUGGGGCUUAGCAUAAGCAACUCCAUUUUAGACUUGUCUUUUUUAAGACAUGCUGUUAAUUUUCCUCAGAAACUUGGUGAUCACCCCUUAAAAUUUGUUACCACGAAAAAUUAAGUUGAUGAGAAUAGCUGGCUUGGGUGGUUUUCCUUUGCAGAUGUGGAGAUCUGUUUUCCUAACAGCUCAUUCCUUUCAAUGGAAGGACCAAUGGGUGUUUGUUGAAAGUGGGCACAGGUGUGGAUAGAUGACGGGGGAGCCAGGCUGUGGAUCCCCACAACAGCGCAUAUAAAGGCCCUUCUCAUCUGCAGGGAGAGCACUUGCUUGCAUCUUAUUCCUGAGUCGAGCUGCCUUCUACAUUUUUGUUACAUACGUCAAGUCUGGAGUUUCUUCAAACUUUGCUCCUUUAUCUUGACUUGAUCACCUGUACUACUAGUUUGCUAACUAGACAAACCACUUUCUUUUGAGAGUGGUUCUCGAGUUGUACUCAAGAAGUUAAAGCUUCUCUCUGUUCUUCACAUAACCUGGGAAGGAGGAGAGGCAGCACCCACCUGGCCAGCUUUCAUGAAAAAGGUUAUUAAGUAAUUACCCUCUUGCCGGUUCUGAGGUCCACACCUGAUCCUUAUAUUUGUUGCUUCUCUGCUGAAGUUUGUCCAGAGCUCUUUGGGGAAGGACCACUCUUCCUUCUACUGUCUUGAGUGAGUGUUUCUCCUGGUUUUUAUUUUUUCCAUCAGUCUGUUUUCUAUUGUACUGGAUUCUUGUUGUUCUACUUCAUGUUUUCCAGCCUCGUUAUGAUUUUCUGCUUCCCUUUAUAUUUCCUUUUUGAUCUUUCAGUGGGACCUUAAGAAAUACAGAAGCUGUGUCAAAAGUUGAGAAAUAGCGGAAGUAAAACUGCUGAAUCACCAAGACAUUACUUAGCAAAAUUGAUUGUGCACACACCAAAAAGACUCAAAGAAAUGCGGAAGGAGGCUCCCGGUAUAUUGUUCCAAAGCAGCUGAUAGAGUGAGGAGUUGCAGGUGGUGUUGAUGCUGCUGGUCCGGGGAACACACUUGGAGAAGCACUGGCAUGGAAUGUUUUCCCUGGUCUGACCAAGGCUGCCCUAAUCUUGGACCAUUUCCUCAUGCUCAGGCUUUUGCAUUACUACCUAUGGUGGCCAUUUGUUUUUGGUAUCCUGCCAAGAUCAGCAUCACCCGAGCUAGGCCCGUAAGAUGCUUUUUCCCAGGAUUUGAAUCUUGAACAGAGUUGCACAAAAUAUUGAAACAGAUUACAGCUCAUUCAAUCCUGCAUUUCCAUGGUGAGAGUGAAGAUGAGUUCUUGGUAUCCAACAUCCAGAAUUGCUGUUAUCCAUGUCCUUUUUUUGAGACUAAUUCUUCAGGCUUCCAAAAAAUUGAUUGAUUUCUAAUAUUUACUUUCAGUUUAUUUGCUGUUUGCUUAAAUUAUUUAGUGUUGUUUUCUCUUGCUUGCAACUAAUUUUAACAGAAAUGGAAAUUUGUACCAUCGUGGGAUUUUGAAAGUGACAGAAUAUAAAACAUGAAUUUGGCUGAGUUGAGGUUAUACGGAGGGUUAGGGAGUUGGAAAUUCUUAUUAUACGAGAGCAACAUAGCUGCUUAAAUUGUUCUGUGUCAUAUCUUGGGCUUGUAUCACGUCGUUUUUGAGGUUAGGGACUUUAGAGUGCUUUUAGAUUGGGAAAUUUUUUUCCUUAUCAUUUUCAUCUUAGUUCCUUUAACAGACUCUGAUUUCCAUUUGGGGAAUCCAUGCCUUCCCCAGUCUCAAUCCUUCUGGUUUGAAUGAGGUUUCAUCCUUUUCCAGGAGCAAAGUGUGUGGUCCAGCUCGAGCCAAUUAGUGCCUGAAACCUUUGGACACAGUGUGUGUUUCAGGGUUAGGUACAGUUACAGCUGACUCUAGGGCUUCCAUUUGAGGCACUUGUCCUGCCAGACUUGCAUAUGAUAUCAUCUGUAGUUGGAGAUUCUAUAGACUUUUUGCUGCCACAUGGAAAUUGAUCUAAGUCAACAUGCGAAGAAUAGCAAAGCAGAACUCAAUGAUAGAGAAAUCUAAUCUUUAUAAUAUUAUUUGAGCCCUUAAAUCCAUGAAGCCAGCACUAUCACAAAAUUUUUCAGAUGCAUGAGCCAAUAAAUUCUCCAGAUUUCAUAGGUUUUUCUGUCUCUUGAAAUCGAAGUAUCUUAAAUGAUACAUUACGUAACCACAUUCACGGAAGAUUUGGGGACAAUUUCAUAAUUUCUCUGUUUAGUCCAAGUGUUGCCAUAAUUGUAGGAGACAUUAAGAGAGAUUGGCUAGAACUUUUUGUCCUUUAGAAAUACUAUAACCUCAGAAAUGGGAAGUGUUAAAAGUCCAUUAUAUUAGCAUAAGCUUCCCAACAUUUCCUGUCUCCAUAUGAUAUUUGACUUUAUGGAGGUUUUUGCUCAUUAGGGGCUUUAUCUCCAAGUCAUAUCCUUCUCUUUCCUUUUGUUCACCCACACAGAUCCAUGAUUCCAUUUCUUCUGUGAUCUGAACUAUGUUUUUGUCAAUUGCCUUGGAAACCACUUUUUACUGCAUAGUCCAGUUAAACUAUAACUUUGGAGAAAUAAAACGAUUCUCAUUCUCUGCUCUGAUAGUUCAGCCCCUAGGUGAUUGAGUUCUGUUUAGCUGACACACUUCUCCCUACAGAUCAAAUUCUUGACUCAGAUUGGUCCUUCCUGAGCCUUUGGUAAGAUCCACCUCCUAUUCGCGUGAACAACUAUCCCAAAUUUUUGCCUUGCUCUUCAAAACACCAACUCAAUCCCUGCUCCCUUCGGCCUCAGCAGAUGACCUUUCUUCCUACUUCAGGGAGAAUAUUAGGGCCUUCAGUAAUAAUCUUGCUUCUUUUCUACUCCCUACAUUUAAUCUUAUUUCUUUCAUCUCAUAUCUUACCUCCGUUAUAUCAAGAUCAGAGUGUGAGCUACAUCUCUUCCCAUUUAAAACCUUGAGCCCUCUUCCAACCUUCUAUAGAAUCUUUCUCUCUUAUUUGUCCCCUCUCUUAUGUACUUCCUCCCGGCACUUCCUCUCGGGCUGUAAACAUGCUUACAAGCCACUAUCCGUAAUUAGAGGUGGGACUGAGGAAGUGGAAUGGGAGCCAGUCACUCAAGGCUGUGUAUGUGAUAUUUAGGAGGUUAUACCUUUUUAGGGGAUGGAAGGCCACCAAAGGGAUUCAAGCAGGGGCAUGACAUGGUCAUAUUAGCUUUUUAGAUAGAUGACUGUUUGCUGCGUGAAUGAUGGAUUGUAGAGGUGUAAAUAGAAGCCAAAAGUGUAAAUAGUGUUCCUAAAAUGUGUUCUGCAAAAGACUAGAUGCUCUUAAAUGUUACUAGAUUUUCCUCAAAAAAAGUGGUUUAUAGACAAGUAAAUAUGACAACUUUGGCUAAAAUAAAUAAAUCUCUUUCUUUCAAGGCUUCUAAGUUUAAAUCCAUACUUUAAUUAACUCAGUCUCUUUAACCAGAAUACUCUUUAUUUCCAAACAAUUAUAAACAGGUAGACCAU